AUGGCGGUGCCUACGAUCCCGAGGAGACCCAAAGUCAGGAUGGCCGCGCCCAGUACAUUGCCGAUGAAGAGGCCCACGACCAUGCUGACUACGACCAUGGUGACUCGUGGCAUGAAGACGAUGACAUCUAUUGCGAAGGUGAUGGUGAUGAAGAAGAAGGCAAUGACAUUGAUAUUGGGGGCGAGCCAUUGUUCAUCGACGAGCUCACCCAAAAAGCGGAAGCACAAAAGAGGAGAAAGAGCAUUCGCACGGGCAUUUCAAUCUUUGGAAGCAUUCAAGGCCCGGCACAAUGACAAGCCAUUCACUCUUACGCAUUAUUGGGCGAUCAUCAACAAUUGUCCUAAGUUCAAGGAUCAAUACCAUGAUUUUCAAAGAAAGAGAGGCAAGAAGACGGUCGCGUUGGCCGGAGGUGGAGAUGGCGAGGCGUUGAAGAGGCCGAGGGGCAAGACUAACUCCAAGGUGGACGACAUACGUGAUGCCUCAUCUAUGGCCUUGCAUGAGGCUUUGCAUGGCAUGAUGUCUCAAAAGGAUGUGAGGGACGAGAAGAAGCGACAAAGCAAGGACAAGCAAAUGAAGCAAUACCUAGAGUUUCAAAGGAAGAAGGUUGAGAUGAAGGAGGCGACCAAGAAGAGGAAGAUCGACAUGGAGGAGGCGUCCCGACAAAGUCAGCUCGACAUCAAGGCCGCCAAUGUCACGACCAGGCAGAGGCAGCUCAACAUCGAGGCCACCAAUGCCGCAACCAAAUCAAAGGAGGUGGCCCUUGCGAUCAUGAGCGUGGAGUUGACCAAUAUGAGCGAGAAGACGUGGAGCUGGUUCGAGGCCAGGCAAAAGGAGAUGUUCGACGCCGACGGCCUAAACUAG
rnacentral:rRNA from 1 species